GAGACUUUCCCAUUGUUCAUCCCCAAUUUCAUCCGUGAGCAGCUGCUAUUGAGAAACAUGUAGAAAUGUAUGGAGAUUGAGAGAAGAUGAUUCUGGUGUUGUUCGUGUUACCAGUGAAGAGAGGAUGGUUCGAUUGAUGAUGUUCUGUUGAUCGAGAAUUGUUGUUUGCUGCUGGUGACUGAGAACAGAUCGAGAAGAAGUCCAGGGUUGAAAUCAGAUGGAGGAAUUCAUGACUGUGGUUGAAGAUUAACGAAGAAAUGGAAGAAGUUAAACGGGGUUUGAGGUGAAUUCUUAGCUGGUGGAUCUGGGAUGAUUCGUUUGAUGAAUUACUGUGACAGAAUUUGUGAUGGGUGUGAAAUAUUAUCGAAUCAGCUUCUGAAAUUGAUAAGAUUAGGGUUCUGAUGCUGCUGGUGGUCAAGAGGUGUUGUGGUCAAGACCUGGAUGGAGAUGUUGGUAUAAGGCAAUGCAGAAGACAUGAAUUUGUUGCUGUUGAAGUUCAUAGCUGAAUGGAUCGUGAUUCAGGAGAUGGAUGCUGGUAUGAAUGGGUUUGAGCUAUAUUUGGUUUUGAGCUGUAGAAAGUGGUGUUGUUGUUGCUCAUGGAAUUGCAGAGAAGAACAGUGAAACUGGUGAUGCUGUUGCUGUCUUCGCUGGAGUUUGAGGAUGAGAAUCAAAUAGCUGAACUGAAUUGCAGUUGGAGCUGUUGCCGCCAAGGAAUUGAGUAGCUGACGGCUUUGAAGCGUUGGCUGCAAUGGAGCAGCUGGGAGUGAAGUGCAAUUACAAGUGAUGCUGUCAGGUUGAUUACAGAUGGAGAAGUUGAAUGGUCGUUGUGGCCUCACGUAAUGCUGUAAUGGAAUGGUGAGUAACAGAUGUGCUGCUGCAGAAUGGGUAGUGAUGAUUAUGAGAAUUGGUUGCAGCUGCAGUUAUGUUAUGGUGUUGAGUUGCAUAAUCUGGACUGAGAAUGAACUGGUGUUGCUCUGAUGGAAAGAGGACAAGAAAUGUGGACUGAAGAGCAGAUUAUAUGGGC